GACGAACGCUGGCGGCGUGCCUAAUACAUGCAAGUCGAACGCAGUGGGGACGGGUGAGUAACACGUGGGUAACCUCCCAUCAGAGGGGAUAACACUUGGAACAAGGUGCUAAACCGAUACUGAUGGAUGGACCCGCGGUUCAGUAGCUAGUUGGGGGGGUAACGGCCCAACAAGGCCACGAUGCAAAGCCGCCCUGAGAGAGGGAUCGGACACACUGGGACUGAGACACGGCCCAGACCCCUACGGGAGUCAGCAGUAGGGAAUCGUCGGCAAUGGACGAAAGUCUGACCGAGCAACGCCGCGUGAGUGAAGAAGGUUUUCGGAUCGUAAGACUCUGUUGUUAGAGAAGCGGUAUCUAACCAGAAAGCCACGGCUAACUACGUGCCAGCAGCCGCGGUAAUAC
rnacentral:rRNA from 1 species